AUUGAACGCUGGCGGCAGGCUUACCACAUGCAAGUCGAGCGAGCGGCGGACGGGUGAGUAAUGUCUGGGAAACUGCCUGAUCGAGGGGGAUAACUACUGGAAACGGUACCUAAUACCGCAUACCCUCAGAUGUGCCCAGAUGGGAUUAGAUAGUAGGUGGGGUAAUGGCUUACCUAGGCGACGAUCCCUAGCGGGUCUGAUAGGAUGACCAGCCACACUGGAAAUGAGAAACGGUACAGACUCCUACGUGAGGCAGCAGUGGGGAAUAGUGCACAAUGGGCGCAAGCCUGAUGGAGCCAUGCCGCGUGUGUUAAGAAGGCCUUCGGGUUGUAAAGCACUGUCAGCGAGGAGGCGUUAUUCGAAGAAGAAGCACGGGCUAACUCCGGGCCAGCGGCCGCGGUAAUUC
rnacentral:rRNA from 1 species